GAUUAAGUUAUUAAGGGCGCACGGUGGAUGCCUUGGCACUAGAAGCCGAUGAAGGACGUUACUAACGACGAUAUGCUUUGGGGAGCUGUAAGUAAGCUUUGAUCCAGAGAUUUCCGAAUGGGGAAACCCAGCAUGAGUUAUGUCAUGUUAUCGAUAUGUGAAUACAUAGCAUAUCAGAAGGCACACCCGGAGAACUGAAACAUCUUAGUACCCGGAGGAAGAGAAAGAAAAUUCGAUUCCCUUAGUAGCGGCGAGCGAAACGGGAAGAGCCCAAACCAACAAGCUUGCUUGUUGGGGUUGUAGGACACUCUAUACGGAGUUACAAAGGACGACAUUAGACGAAUCAUCUGGAAAGAUGAAUCAAAGAAGGUAAUAAUCCUGUAGUCGAAAAUGUUGUCUCUCUUGAGUGGAUCCUGAGUACGACGGAGCACGUGAAAUUCCGUCGGAAU
rnacentral:rRNA from 1 species